rnacentral:rRNA from 1 species
AACGAACGCUGGCGGCAGGCUUAACACAUGCAAGUCGAGCGCCCCGCAAGGGGAGCGGCAGACGGGUGAGUAACGCGUGGGAAUCUACCCAUCUCUACGGAAUAACGCAUGGAAACGUGUGCUAAUACCGUAUACGUCCUUCGGGAGAAAGAUUUAUCGGCGAUGGAUGAGCCCGCGUUGGAUUAGCUAGUUGGUGGGGUAAAGGCCUACCAGGGCGACGAUCCAUAGCUGGUCUGAGAGGAUGAUCAGCCACACUGGGACUGAGACACGGCCCAGACUCCUACGGGAGGCAGCAGUGGGGAAUAUUGGACAAUGGGCGCAAGCCUGAUCCAGCCAUGCCGCGUGAGUGAUGAAGGCCCUAGGGUUUAAAGCUCUUUCACCGGUGAAGAUAAUGACGGUAACCGGAGAAGAAGCCCCGGCUAACUUCGUGCCAGCAGCCGCCGUAACAC